rnacentral:rRNA from 1 species
GACGAACGCUGGCGGCGUGCCUAACACAUGCAAGUCGAACGGGGUUGCCCUUCGGGGUAACUUAGUGGCGAACGGGUGAGUAACGCGUGAGAAACCUGCCUCUCAGUGGGGGAUAACAGUUGGAAACGACUGCUAAUACCGCAUAAUGUUAUUUGGGGGCAUCCCUGAAUAACCACAGAUUUAUUGCUGAAAGAUGGUCUCGCGUCUGAUUAGCUAGAUGGCGGGGUAACGGCCCACCAUGGAGACGAUCAGUAGCCGGUCUGAGAGGAUGAACGGCCACAUUGGGACUGAGAUACGGCCCAGACUCCUACGGGAGGCAGCAGUGGGGAAUAUUGGGCAAUGGGCGAAAGCCUGACCCAGCAACGCCGCGUGAAGGAAGAAGGCCUUCGGGUUGUAAACUUCUUUUACCAGGGACGAAUUUUGACGGUACCUGGAGAAAAAGCAACGGCUAACUACGUGCCAGCCGCCGCAGUAACAC